AGUGAACGCUGGCGGUAGGCCUAACACAUGCAAGUCGAACGGCAGCACAGUAAGAGCUUGCUCUUACGGGUGGCGAGUGGCGGACGGGUGAGGAAUACAUCGGAAUCUACUUUUUCGUGGGGGAUAACGUAGGGAAACUUACGCUAAUACCGCAUCCGACCUACGGGUGAAAGCAGGGGAUCUUCUGACCUUGCGCGAUUGAAUGAGCCGAUGUCGGAUUAGCUAGUUGGCGGGGUAAAGGCCCACCAAGGCGACGAUCCGUAGCUGGUCUGAGAGGAUGGUCAGCCACACUGGAACUGAGACGCGGUCCAGACUCCUACGGGAGGCAGCAGUGGGGAAUAUUGGACAAUGGGCGCAAGCCUGAUCCAGCCAUACCGCGUGGGUGAAGAAGGCCUUCGGGUUGUAAAGCCCUUUUGUUGGGAAAGAAAAGCAGCAGGUUAAUACCCCGCUGUUCUGACGGUACCCAAAGAAUAAGCACCGGCUAACUUCGUG
rnacentral:rRNA from 1 species